rnacentral:rRNA from 1 species
GCUCAGGAUGAACGCUGGCGGCGUGCUUACACAUGCAAGUCGAACGGUGAAGCCUGCUAUUUAUAGUGGGUGGAUCAGUGGCGGACUGGUGAGUAACACGUAGGUGACCUGCCCCAAAGAGGAGAAUAACUUGACGAAAGUGAAGCUAAUACUCCAUGUGGUCAAUCAUUCGGUUGAUUGAUUAAAGCUAAGGCGCUUUGGGAGGGGCUUGCGGNCCAUCAGCUAGUUGGUAGGGUAAAGGCCUACCAAGGCGAAGACGGGUAGCUGGUCUGAGAGGACGAUCAGCCACAAUGGCACUGAAACACGGGCCAUACUCCUACGGGAGGCAGCAGUGAGGAAUAUUGCACAAUCGACGCAAGUCGGAUGCAGCAACGCCGCGUGGACGAUGAAGGCCUUCGGGUUGUAAAGUCCUUUUAAGAGGGACGAGGAAGGACGGUACCUCUUGAAUAAGUCUCGGUUAACUACGUGCCAGCAGCCGCGGUAACACGUAGGAGGCGAGCGUUAUCCGGAUUUAUUGGGCGUAAAGCGCAUGCAGGUGGCUAGGUAAGUCGGGUGUGAAAGCCCCGGACCUAAUCCGGGGAGGUCAUUCGAUACUGCUUGGCUUGAGAGCGGGAGAGGGAAGUGGAAUUCUCGGUGUAGUGGUGAUAUGCGUAGAUAUCGAGAGGAACACCAGUGGCGAAGGCGGCUUCCUGGCCCGUAUCUGACACUAAGAUGCGAAAGCGUGGGUAGCAAACGGACUUAGAUACUCCGGUAGUCCACGCUGUAAACGAUGGGUACUAGGUG